UACGUAGGGGGGCUAGCGUUGUCCGGAUUUAUUGGGCGUAAAGAGCGUGUAGGCGGCCAUGUAGGUCCGGUGUGAAAACUCGAGGCUUAACCUCGAGAUGUCAUCGGAAACCAUUUGGCUAGAGUCCGGAAGAGGAGAGUGGAAUUCCUGGUGUAGCGGUGAAAUGCGCAGAUAUCAGGAAGAACACCAAUGGCGAAAGCAGCUCUCUGGGGACGGUACUGACGCUGAGACGCGAAAGCGUGGGGAGCGAACAGG
rnacentral:rRNA from 1 species